UACGGAGGGUGCGAGCGUUAUCCGGAAUUACUGGGUUUAAAGGGUGCGUAGGCGGCUGUAUAAGUCGGGGGUGAAAGCAUGGAGCUUAACUGCAUAAUUGCCUUCGAUACUGUAAAGCUGGAAUUAAGUUGAGGUUGGCGGAAUGUGACAUGUAGCGGUGAAAUGCAUAGAUAUGUCAUAGAACACCGAUUGCGUAGGCAGCUGACUGAGCUUAAAUUGACGCUGAGGCACGAAAGCGUGGGGAGCGAACAGG
rnacentral:rRNA from 1 species